GGAUAGGGGUGAAAGGCCAAUCAAACUUCGUGAUAGCUGGUUCUCUCCGAAAUAUAUUUAGGUAUAGCGUUGUGUCGUAAUAUAAGGGGGUAGAGCACUGAAUGGGCUAGGGCAUACACCAAUGUACCAAACCCUAUCAAACUCCGAAUACCUUAUAUGUAAUCACAGCAGUCAGGCGGCGAGUGAUAAAAUCCGUCGUCAAGAGGGAAACAACCCAGACUACCAGCUAAGGUCCCUAAAUCUUACUUAAGUGGAAAACGAUGUGAAGUUACUUAAACAACCAGGAGGUUGGCUUAGAAGCAGCCAUCCUUUAAAGAAAGCGUAAUAGCUCACUGGUCUAGUGAUUUUGCGCGGAAAAUAUAACGGGGCUAAAGU
rnacentral:rRNA from 1 species